AUCAAAUAAGUGCGCGGAUCCUACCCAGGUCGGGUCGGUUCGCGCGUGAGUUCCUUCAUCAUCUAAACGGCGCCGUUUCAUUUAUGUAUAAAAACUAAAAAAAAAACCCUUUCCCCUGAGUUGUUUGCUCAAAAUCAAAAGAAACAAAAAAGGUUUUCACCUUUUUUCCUCUACUAGGCACGAAAGUAGGCCGCACCACUGUUAGGAGAUUAGGGGACUCUCCGAAGGCCAACUCCGAUGCCAGAGGGGAAGUUUCCGAUGAUGGAGGAGCAAAUCGACUUUGGAGGAUCCAGCUGGAGGUGGUGGUGCACGUGGAGCGUGAAGCAACGACGCUCGUGGAAGCUGGCACGAAGGCAAUAAUGGCACAAGGGAAAGAAACCCUAGGGUUCCAGAAGUUUCAAUUUGCUCGGGCUAUUUGGGCUAUUUUAAGAUUGGGCCCUAUUGUAAAAUGAGUUUAAAAUUUGGGCUUAUAUUUGUAUGUGGGUUAAAUGUAAAUUUGGUAUUUAUGGACUGUGGACUAUAUUUUAUUUUUAUUUGGUUUAUUUAUUUGUUUGUAAAUAA